rnacentral:tRNA from 1 species
UGCCGGAACCCGGGAUCGAACCAGGGACCUUUAGAUUUUCAGUCUAACGCUCUCCCAACUAAGCUAUUUCGUC